rnacentral:misc_RNA from 1 species
GCAAACUUGGUCAUUUAGAGGAAGUAAAAGUCGUAACAAGGUUUCCGUAGGUGAACCUGCGGAAGGAUCAUUAACGAAUUUUUGUCAGUGGGUUGAUGCUGGUCUUCGUGCCGUGCUCGCCUCUGCAAUUUUUCUUUAUCCAUACACCUGUGCACCUCUGAGGGUUUGCUGCAGCGAUGCGGUUGGCCUUCUUUUUUUGACAAACACUAUUGUGAUCUAUGAACGUGAUUGAGCCGCAAGGCCAUAAACUAUAAUACAACUUUUAACAACGGAUCUCUUGGUUCUCGCAUCGAUGAAGAACGCAGC